AACGGGUGGUAAUGCCGGAUGCUCCAGCACACUGCAUGGUGUGUUGGGAAAGCCUUUGCGGCAUGGGAUGGGGUCGCGUCCUAUCAGCUUGAUGGCGGGGUAACGGCCCACCAUGGCUUCGACGGGUAGCCGGCCUGAGAGGGCGACCGGCCACAUUGGGACUGAGAUACGGCCCAGACUCCUACGGGAGGCAGCAGUGGGGAAUAUUGCACAAUGGGCGCAAGCCUGAUGCAGCGACGCCGCGUGAGGGAUGGAGGCCUUCGGGUUGUAAACCUCUUUUGUUAGGGAGCAAGGCACUUUGUGUUGAGUGUACCUUUCGAAUAAGCACCGGCUAACUACGUGCCAGCAGCCGCGGUAAUACGUAGGGUGCAAGCGUUAUCCGGAAUUAUUGGGCGUAAAGGGCUCGUAGGCGGUUCGUCGCGUCCGGUGUGAAAGUCCAUCGCUUAACGGUGGAUCCGCGCCGGGUACGGGCGGGCUUGAGUGCGGUAGGGGAGACUGGAAUUCCCGGUGUAACGGUGGAAUGUGUAGAUAUCGGGAAAGAACACCA
rnacentral:rRNA from 1 species